GGCCCAAACUUGAAGUGGAGUAGAUCAGAAGGAUAAUUAGACCCUGCUGAACUAGUCUACUUCGAGCUUGUGCCA
rnacentral:pre_miRNA from 1 species